UCUGGGAAACUGCCUGAUGGAGGGGGAUAACUACUGGAAACGGUAGCUAAUACCGCAUAACGUCGCAAGACCAAAGAGGGGGACCUUCGGGCCUCUUGCCAUCGGAUGUGCCCAGAUGGGAUUAGCUUGUUGGUGGGGUAACGGCUCACCAAGGCGACGAUCCCUAGCUGGUCUGAGAGGAUGACCAGCCACACUGGAACUGAGACACGGUCCAGACUCCUACGGGAGGCAGCAGUGGGGAAUA
rnacentral:rRNA from 1 species